ensembl:misc_RNA Metazoa_SRP Metazoan signal recognition particle RNA
AUGGAGCAGAAUAGAGAGCCCAUAAAUAGAUCUUCAUAGAUCACUUGAGGCCCAGAGUUCUGGGUUGUAGUGCACUAUACCAACUGGGUGUCCAUACUAAGUUCAGCAUCAACAUGGUGACCUCCAGGUUGCCUAAGGAGGGGUGAACUGGCUCAGGUCAGAAACAGCAAAUCAAAACUCCUUUGCUGCUCAGUAGUGGAGUCACACCUGUGAAGAGCCACUACACUCCAGUCUGGACAACAUAGCAUGU